rnacentral:rRNA from 1 species
CCUGAGAAACCCAAAAGAUCGAAUGGGGAGAUUCAUCGUCAGCUGCUUUGGCUUCCGUGCGGUGCGCGAUGAUCGGGGCCUCGUGCUCUGCGUCACGCGCCCGCUGCGGUAUGACCGAAGUGGUCGGCGUGCACUUCUCCCCUAGUAGGACGUCGCGACCCGUUGGGUGCUGGUCUACGGCCCGGUAGGUCGACUGGCGAGUCUCGUUAACCCGUGUACUCGUCAGACCUCUGGAUGCCCGACCGGCUGCCCGGCGGUAUUAAACGAUAAUUAAACGGUAUUGGGCCGCAUCAAGUGCGUUCAGGCUCGUCGGCAGGCUCGCCUCGCUCGGAUUUACGGACCUAGCGCCGUUGCCGGGUGCUUGGCGUGGCUGUUGGUCGACGAUGUCCUCGGACUGGCUCUUAAAAUAUAUUCGAACGGAUAUACCGGUCGGCGACGCUACUGCUUUGGGUACUUUCAGGAC